GGAUGUUAGAGCAAUCUGACGGUGACAGCUGUCACUCCAUUUAUGCCAGAUUUGAUUCGAGGGAUUUGGCUGGCUGAAAAGUGUCCAGUGAUUCCCUCACUGUUCUAUAUUUGUCAUGCUGCCAUAGGAAUUGGCUGCAUCUUCGGAAUGUCACCCAAAUCAAAGAUGGUAAUACUCCCAGACAGAGGAGGACCACACUGUAGUUCAAGAAACUAACUACAGUUAACUACAGUUAGUU
rnacentral:sRNA from 1 species